GAUGAACGCUGGCGGCGUGCCUAAUACAUGCAAGUCGAGCGAACAGACGAGGAGCUUGCUCCUCUGACGUUAGCGGCGGACGGGUGAGUAACACGUGGAUAACCUACCUAUAAGACUGGGAUAACUUCGGGAAACCGGAGCUAAUACCGGAUAAUAUAUUGAACCGCAUGGUUCAAUAGUGAAAGACGGUUUUGCUGUCACUUAUAGAUGGAUCCGCGCCGCAUUAGCUAGUUGGUAAGGUAACGGCUUACCAAGGCAACGAUGCGUAGCCGACCUGAGAGGGUGAUCGGCCACACUGGAACUGAGACACGGUCCAGACUCCUACGGGAGGCAGCAGUAGGGAAUCUUGCGCAAUGGGCGAAAGCCUGACGGAGCAACGCCGCGUGAGUGAUGAAGGUCUUCGGAUCGUAAAACUCUGUUAUUAGGGAAGAACAAAUGUGUAAGUAACUAUGCACGUCUUGACGGUACCUAAUCAGAAAGCAACGGCUAACUACGUG
rnacentral:rRNA from 1 species